CGCUUUCUUUCUUAGACUUUCUCUAGAUAAGGUAGGUACAAACCAAUUCUGGCCAUGACCUUUCCGUCCAUGCUGCCGCAGUUCAUCGUAGAUUCCGACGACCUCCGUCCACCCCUCGACCUCUUUCUUGUGCCACCCUUCUUAUUUUAUCCCGGCACAUGUCCCUGACAAGUUCUUGUAACUUUUCGUGCAUUAGAGUGAGCUGUUCUUCAUCGACCAAGAGCUCCGUUCGUAGGGAAAACUUCGGCGUUGGAUUACAGUUGAACCAAUGCACCUAAACGACCAUCGCUUCGCCAGCAAGCUCUGGUCGACGAUGCGCUUCAUCUGGUAUGAUCCACGCAUCCAAAUCCCCUAUGUACAGCUCGGAACGGCUGAUGCCGACGCCGCCCGCCGCGACGCCGACGACCAUGGCAAGCCGGAGAAGGAGGACCACCGGAGACGACAACCAAAUCCUGCCGGAGUCGUGCAGCCUCCAUUCAUCUGUAGCCGCCACGCGUGGAAGAGGAAAACGCUAUCGUACACUCCCUCAAGGUAGCCGUGAAGCCUGCUUUCCGUUGACCACACGCAGUUGCGGAAGAUCACCAGAGCGCCAGCAACUACGACGACCCAGCCUCGUCCACGACAACCCAGCCUCGUCCCUUUUGUACGAAGAGCUACGUGUUUUGAUUAGAGAAGUGAACGAUCUUCGACUACCAAAAAGGCAAGUGACACACCCUCACAAAUAUCCUAGAUUUUAUUCAUGCACCGUAGUGAUUUUUUUUGUAAGUCUAGGGUUAUGCUUUGCUUUUGUAAUCCCAGUAGAUAGCUACUUCCAUCUGACCAUAUUUUGUUGCCAUUAAAUUUAGUUGAUGCUUAGCUAUGCUAUGAAAAUGUUUUGCUAGUGGUUAAAGAAAAACAACUAAGUUUAAUGAACUACCUGGGUGAAUGGUGGAGCUUUGGAGCGGGUGGCUGCAUCAGGGGGCCCUGUCAACGGCGAUACCCUGGUGUGAGUACACAUUUGCGGAAAGUCACCCAGGAUUAAAGAGAUUGUAGACAACCUUGCUCAUUAGCUUACCGUACAACCACAUGCUAUAUGGGCUCUGGCUUGACGGAGUAUGUUGUGAGAACCCGGACCCUACGUCACAGAUGAUGUAGGGGAAUGUAGGUCGGUACGGGUCCGUAGAGGAUGGUCUAGGGGAUCACUUCAGAAAAAUCUCGUCCUAGUCGACAUCUGUCCAUUUGAGCAAAAUGUGCAUCAUGGAAGAAGAACAGGCUAGGUCAUGUGGGUAAAUUGUACAACCUCUGCAGAGUGUUAAAUCUAAGUACUUAGCCGUGUCCCCGGUUACGGACAAUUUGAGCGAACUGACAAGGAUCCUGUUCGAAAGUCUCCUCAUCCCAACUUCUUAAAUUAAAAUGUGAUGGGUGAACAAGGGUAGGAGGAAUUCACUGGUUUCCAUCAGUGGUAUUCUAGGUUCAUUGGUUUCUAUCAAUGGUACCGCUUAAUAGAAGAGAAAAUGUUUUGAGAAAUGAUAGGUGAAAACUUGCUUUACGCAAAAUUGCCUGAGCUCUACCAGCCAAAUGUACACUUAAGUGUUAGGUUGCCAUUCGAGUCCACUAUAGUGUCAUCUUGCCAAUACAUUCAAAGUAUUGACCAAAUGUUUUUGGCUGUAACUUUACCUGUUGCAGAUAUUUUGAUAGACGAGUGAGUUACGCUGAUUAGGGUUACGAGUCUAUCCUCAACAUGCUCGCCUGUGGCACAUGAAGACGAAGGACUCCAUGCUGUCUAUGUUUAUUCAUUGUGAAACUCUGAUGAUAUGCUAGCCUUGUGCUAUGCAAUUUGUAAUCAUUUAUGUAAAUUCUGGAUCAUACGAUGUAAUAAAGACCUUUGUUUCUUGGUA